rnacentral:snRNA from 1 species
AGCUUUGCGCAGUGGCAGUAUCGUAGCCCAUGAGGUCCAACCAAGGCACAAUUAUUGCUACUUUAUUAAUUUGUUCUAAAACUUAGAAUCAUAGAAAAAUUAUAAAUCAU